rnacentral:rRNA from 1 species
UACGAAGGGGGCUAGCGUUGCUCGGAAUCACUGGGCGUAAAGGGUGCGUAGGCGGGUUUCUAAGUCAGAGGUGAAAGCCUGGAGCUCAACUCCAGAACUGCCUUUGAUACUGGAAGUCUUGAGUUCGGGAGAGGUGAGUGGAACUGCGAGUGUAGAGGUGAAAUUCGUAGAGAUCCGGAGGAAGACCGGUGGCGAAGGCGGCCUGCUGGGCAGAUACUGACACUGAGGCGCGACAGCGUGGGGAGCAAACAGG